rnacentral:rRNA from 1 species
GACGAACGCUGGCGGCGUGCCUAAUACAUGCAAGUCGAACGCAGUGGGGACGGGUGAGUAACACGUGGGUAACCUCCCAUCAGAGGGGAUAACACUUGGAAACAGGUGCUAAACCGAUAUUGAUGGAUGGACCCGCGGGGCAUUAGCUAGUUGGUGAGGUAACGGCUCACCAAGGCCACGAUGCAUAGCCGACCUGAGAGGAUGAGCAGUCACACUGGAACUGAGAACCGGUCCAGACUCCUACGGGAGGCAGCAGUGGGGAAUAUUGGACAAUGGGCGAAAGCCUGAUCCAGCCAUGCCGCGUGUGUGAAGAAGGCCUUCGGGUUGUAAAGCACUGUCAGCGGGGAGGCGUUACCCGAAGAAGAAGCACCGGCUAACUCCGUGCCAGCAGCCGCGGUAAUUC